rnacentral:rRNA from 1 species
UACGUAGGGUGCAAGCGUUAAUCGGAAUUACUGGGCGUAAAGCGUGCGCAGGCGGUUUUGUAAGUCUGUCGUGAAAGCCCCGGGCUCAACCUGGGAAUUGCGAUGGAGACUGCAAGGCUUGAAUCUGGCAGAGGGGGGUAGAAUUCCACGUGUAGCAGUGAAAUGCGUAGAGAUGUGGAGGAACACCGAUGGCGAAGGCAGCCCCCCGGGUCAAGAUUGACGCUCAUGCACGAAAGCGUGGGGAGCAAACAGG